rnacentral:rRNA from 1 species
UACGUAGGUGGCAAGCGUUGUCCGGAUUUACUGGGCGUAAAGAGCGCGCAGGCGGUUGGAUAAGUCGAAUGUGAAAGCCCCCGGCUUAACUGGGGAGGGUCAUUCGAUACUGUCCAACUUGAAGGCAGGAGAGGGCAGCAGAAUUCCCGGUGUAGUGGUGAAAUGCGUAGAUAUCGGGAGGAAUACCAGUGGCGAAGGCGGCUGCCUGGCCUGUUCUUGACGCUGAGGCGCGAAAGCUGGGGGAGCAAACGGGG